rnacentral:lncRNA from 1 species
AUCAGGCAACUUCUUUCCAUGAAAGUGAGAUCUGUGCGUCUUGAAGCCGAUAGAUUAUCACAGAAAAACCAGCAACCCUGAUUUUAAAUCAUUUGCCAACAGUGUUAAUGGGCGGUUCCUAAUCCGUUUCUUAAUUUAAGGGUUUGUAAAAUCAAAAAACAGCUCAGAAAUGAUACGAUUAACAUAUGACGGUGAGUAACUACGAGAGCAAGCUGUUUCAUACUCCGUUAAAAUCAGGUUGGCCGGACGCGGUGGCUCACGCCUGUAAUCCCAGUAAUUUGGGAGGCUAAGGCGGGUGGAUCACAAGGUCAGGAGUUCAAGACCAGCCUGGCCAACAUGGUGAAACCCUGUCUCUACUAAAAAUCCACAAAUUAGCCGGGUGUGGUGAUGGGCGCCUGUAAUCCCAGCUACUGAGGAGGCUGAGGCAGAGAAGUGCUUGAACCCGGGAGGCAGAAGUUGCAGUGAGCCAAGAUCACGCCACAAAGAAAUGUAUCAGAUUUAAGUUGGGUUGAUCUCAAAGUGAAGGAUGGAGAAAUGAAUUCUCUAUUGUCAUAAGGAAAAGGGAAGUCAUGAAGUUAGAAGGAAUUCCAUCAUCACUUGGGAGAUUUCUGCGAAUCAUCACUAAAGCCAUUCACUUUCUCAUAACUAAACAAGAAUCUUCUUCUGGAGUUAAGUAUCAGAUAUGAAUGUUCUCACUGACCUCAGGAAGCAAAAGUCCUAAAUCAUUAUAUGGCAGUGAAGGUACAAAAAAAAAAAAAAAUCAGCAGGAAAUAAAGCGGAACUGCUGCCAACACAUACAAGCUGCAGUAGCACCCACAAAAUGUGUAGUAUCUAUUCUAACACAUUCAUUGGACUGAUUACAUUGGCUCAUAGACUUGGUUAACUCUGGAAGAACAUAAUAGGUGUUUAUUGUUUACUAUGGGGAUGGGAAACAUAAUUAAGUCUAUAGUCUCCAAUUCUUCUCAAGUUCAAAUGAAACCAACACUUUUGGUUUUGUCUUAACAUUCAGGAUGUGUUUCUAAUUAAACUGAAAUCACAGUA